CGUGAGCCAUCUUCAAAUAGAUACCGGAUACCCUGAUGUUUUGAGAUGGAACUAUCAACUGGGUCCUUGUACUCGAAUUCAUCACCAUGAACGACAUUUGAAACAUCUGAAUGUAUUCCCUUUAUUAUCCUGUAUUACGCAUAGCCAAAGGUUAAAAAAGUAUUUAACAAUGAAAGCACACAACAUCACAACAUAACUAUGCCUCAAAACAAACUAGUAGGAUCAGCUGCAUGAAUCCUUAAUAUCAAAUAGAAAAAGCAAGUCUCCUCCCAAAAUGCUCGCAUAGCCUAAGGUUAAAAAAGUAUUUAACAAUGAAAGCACACAACAUCACAACAUAACUAUGCCUCAAAACAAACUAGUAGGAUCAGCUGCAUGAAUCCUUAAUAUCAAAUAGAAAAAGCAAGUCUCCUCCCAAAAUGCUCUACAACGAAUCCCAUAUGGCCUUAGACCGGUAUCCUUUCCGUUUUGACCAGUUUCAUCCCAAAUGUCACGUCCUUAGUCUUGAACUAAGCGCACGUGCGACACUUGACAGCUCUCUCACGAUCUUGCACAACUAGCGCACGAUCUUGAUAUGCCAAGCUGGUCUAAAUAUUACACUAAGAUCGCUAAGGGAAUAUUAAAUAAGAAAGACAAGAUAAAUUUGUCAAAUGAAGCUUUCUAUUAUAGAACUUGAUUGUUUUGCUUGGGGAGUUACGAAUGAAUGUGCUAGUGUGUAAAUAAUAAUUGUUCCACAAGUCCUUCCAUAUUUACAAAUAAGACAGCCCCUAGAAGUUUCUACAUGACUAGAACAUUCAAAGGCUUUCCAAAAGAGUCUUCCUACCAAAUCCAUAAAUAUAUAAUUUUCCCAAAGAAACUCUCCAUAGUUCUAGAAUAUUCCAUUAAGAGCUAGUCUCUAACUUAUAUAACCUUACACAUGACAAGUAUAUGUGCCAAAUAGAUCCUAUGUGGCAUGAUGACAUGGUGGGUCAUCACAUUCUCCCCAACCCAAUUAUGUGCCGCCCUCAGCACAAAGCAUCGCCAUGUACGUGCACACCUUGCCUUGGCGCCGCCGGAGAUCAUUGUCCAUUAGCAAUGAUACUCUAUGGAACGGUUCGCUUUCCUAUGUCACAAGGUACAUGUCACCUUUCUCCUUGCCUCGUUUGUACUUUGAACGGCUGGCAAUGAUGGCCUCGAUCCUCCACCCAUCGGAUGCCUCUCCUUGAUCUUGACCUGAAUUUCCCCGUGACUCGACAAAGUUUAGCAGCUUCUAAAGUAUCGGGCCCAUGCUUCCACUCCCUAUUUGGCUACCCUCUGUGGUCCUAGCCUUCCUAUGUCACAAGGUACAUGUCACCUUUUUUCUUGCUCCGUUUGUACUUUGAACGGCUGGCAAUGAUGGCCUCGAUCCUCCGCCCAUCGGAUGUCUCUCCUUGAUCUUGACUUGAAUCUCCCCAUGACUCGACAAAGUCUAGCAGCUUCUAAAGUAUCGGGCCCAUGCUUCCACUCCCUAUUUGGCUACCCUCCGUGGUCCUAGCCUUGCUAGCAAAUUUGAACCCCCUGCUUGGUGCAUCGUCUA
rnacentral:lncRNA from 1 species